rnacentral:rRNA from 1 species
GAUGAACGCUAGCUACAGGCUUAACACAUGCAAGUCGAGGGGUAACAUAGAUUAGCAAUAAUUUGAUGACGACCGGCGCACGGGUGAGUAACACGUAUCCAAUCUGCCCUUUACUCGGGGAUAGCCUUUUGAAAGAAAGAUUAAUACCCGAUGGUAUAUAUCUUCUGCAUGGAAGAUGUAUUAAAGAAUUUCGGUAAAGGAUGAGGAUGCGUUCCAUUAGAUAGUUGGUGAGGUAACGGCUCACCAAGUCUUCGAUGGAUAGGGGUUCUGAGAGGAAGGUCCCCCACACUGGUACUGAGACACGGACCAGACUCCUACGGGAGGCAGCAGUGAGGAAUAUUGGUCAAUGGGCGCAAGCCUGAACCAGCCAAGUAGCGUGAAGGAUGACUGCCCUAUGGGUUGUAAACUUCUUUUAUAAGGGAAUAACCGCAUUUACGUGUAGAUGUCUGUAUGUACCUUAUGAAUAAGCAUCGGCUAACUCCGUGCCAGCAGCCGCGGUAACAC